rnacentral:sRNA from 1 species
UAAAAAUGAUAUGAAAACAAGUUGAAUGUUUGGAAUCGCUAACAACCGAAGCUGGAUCCAAAAUCCGGUUAGUUUCAUAUAUCUUUAUGUAAAUUUAGUAUCAAACAAAACAAAAAAAGAACAAAAA